rnacentral:rRNA from 1 species
CGAAUGCUGACAUAAGUAACGAUAAAGCGGGUGAAAAGCCCGCUCGCCGGAAGACCAAGGGUUCCUGUCCAACGUUAAUCGGGGCAGGGUGAGUCGACCCCUAAGGCGAGGCCGAAAGGCGUAGUCGAUGGGAAACAGGUUAAUAUUCCUGUACUUGGUGUUACUGCGAAGGGGGGACGGAGAAGGCUAUGUUGGCCGGGCGACGGUUGUCCCGGUUUAAGCGUGUAGGCUGGUUUUCCAGGCAAAUCCGGAAAAUCAAGGCUGAGGCGUGAUGACGAGGCACUACGGUGCUGAAGCAACAAAUGCCCUGCUUCCAGGAAAAGCCUCUAAGCAUCAGGUAACAUCAAAUCGUACCCCAAACCGACACAGGUGGUCAGGUAGAGAAUACCAAGGCGCUUGAGAGAACUCGGGUGAAGGAACUAGGCAAAAUGGUGCCGUAACUUCGGGAGAAGGCACGCUGAUAUGUAGGUGAAGUCCCUCGCGGAUGGAGCUGAAAUCAGUCGAAGAUACCAGCUGGCUGCAACUGUUUAUUAAAAACACAGCACUGUGCAAACACGAAAGUGGACGUAUACGGUGUGACGCCUGCCCGGUGCCGGAAGGUUAAUUGAUGGGGUUAGCGCAAGCGAAGCUCUUGAUCGAAGCCCCGGUAAACGGCGGCCGUAACUAUAACGGUCCUAAGGUAGCGAAAUUCCUUGUCGGGUAAGUUCCGACCUGCACGAAUGGCGUAAUGAUGGCCAGGCUGUCUCCACCCAAGACUCAGUGAAAUUGAACUCGCUGUGAAGAUGCAGUGUACCCGCGGCAAGACGGAAAGACCCCGUGAACCUUUACUAUAGCUUGACACUGAACAUUGAGCCUUGAUGUGUAGGAUAGGUGGGAGGCUUUGAAGUGUGGACGCCAGUCUGCAUGGAGCCGACCUUGAAAUACCACCCUUUAAUGUUUGAUGUUCUAACGUGGACCCGUAAUCCGGGUUGCGGACAGUGUCUGGUGGGUAGUUUGACUGGGGCGGUCUCCUCCUAAAGAGUAACGGAGGAGCACGAAGGUUGGCUAAUCCUGGUCGGACAUCAGGAGGUUAGUGCAAUGGCAUAAGCCAGCUUGACUGCGAGCGUGACGGCGCGAGCAGGUGCGAAAGCAGGUCAUAGUGAUCCGGUGGUUCUGAAUGGAAGGGCCAUCGCUCAACGGAUAAAAGGUACUCCGGGGAUAACAGGCUGAUACCGCCCAAGAGUUCAUAUCGACGGCGGUGUUUGGCACCUCGAUGUCGGCUCAUCACAUCCUGGGGCUGAAGUAGGUCCCAAGGGUAUGGCUGUUCGCCAUUUAAAGUGGUACGCGAGCUGGGUUUAGAACGUCGUGAGACAGUUCGGUCCCUAUCUGCCGUGGGCG